GACGGAGGAUGCAAGUGUUAUCCGGAAUCACUGGGCGUAAAGCGUCUGUAGGUGGUUGAAUAAGUCAACUGUUAAAUCUUGAGGCUCAACCUCAAAAUCGCAGUCGAAACUAUUCGACUAGAGUAUAGUAGGGGUAAAGGGAAUUUCCAGUGGAGCGGUGAAAUGCGUAGAGAUUGGAAAGAACACCGAUGGCGAAGGCACUUUACUGGGCUAUUACUAACACUCAGAGACGAAAGCUAGGGUAGCAAAUGGG
rnacentral:rRNA from 1 species